AGAGUUUGAUCAUGGCUCAGGAUGAACGCUAGCGGCAGGCUUAACACAUGCAAGUCGAGGGGCAGCGCGAUGUAGCAAUACAUUGGCGGCGACCGGCGCACGGGUGCGUAACACGUAUGGAAUCUGCCCUGUACUGGAAGAUAACCCGGCGAAAGUCGGACUAAUAUCCCAUAAUAGCCGAGGUGGCAUCACCUUGGUUUGAAAGCUCCGGCGGUACAGGAUGACCAUGCGCACGAUUAGCUAGUUGGUGAGGUAACGGCUCACCAAGGCUACGAUCGUUAGGGGGCCUGAGAGGGUUAUCCCCCACACUGGUACUGAGACACGGACCAGACUCCUACGGGAGGCAGCAGUGAGGAAUAUUGCGCAAUGGAGGCAACUCUGACGCAGCCAUGCCGCGUGCAGGAAGAAGGCGCUACGCGUUGUAAACUGCUUUUAUCCGGGAAGAAACCCCAGGACGUGUCCUGGGUUGACGGUACCGGAGGAAUAAGCACCGGCUAACUUCGUGCCAGCAGCCGCGGUAAUACGAAGGGUGCAAGCGUUAUCCGGAUUCAUUGGGUUUAAAGGGUGCGUAGGUGGGGCGAUAAGUCAGCGGUGAAAUCCUGCAGCUCAACUGCAGAAUUGCCGUUGAUACUGUCGCUCUUGAGUACGCUUGACGUGGGCGGAAUGUGCCGUGUAGCGGUGAAAUGCUUAGAUAUGGCACAGAACACCGAUAGUGAAGACAGCUCACGAAGGCGAAACUGACACUGAGGCACGAAAGCGUGGGGAUCGAACAGGAUUAGAUACCCCGGUAGU
rnacentral:rRNA from 1 species